rnacentral:misc_RNA from 1 species
UCCCCGAUUUCCGGGGCAGUCUCCCUAGAGUUCCCGGCCGAACCGCUGGCAACUAGGGAUAGGGGUUGCGCUCGUUGCGGGACUUAACCCAACAUCUCACGGCACGAGCUGACGACGGCCAUGCAACACCUGUCACCUUGCUCAAUAAAGCACUCUUGCCUUUCGGCAAAAUUCAAGGGAUGUCAAGCCCUGGUAAGGUUCUUCGUUUAUCAUCGAAUUAAAGAACACGCUCCACCGCUUGUGCGGGUCCCCGUCAAUUCCUUUAUGUUUUAGUCUUGCGACCGUACUCCACAGGCGGGAUGCUUAACGCGUUAGCUUCGCUACUGAAGGGGUCGAUACCUCCAACAGCUAGCAUCCAUAGUUUACGGCGUGGACUAC